rnacentral:lncRNA from 1 species
UUGAUACAUGUGUGGCAGAAGACUUUUUUGAACUCGAUUUAAUUACGAAUUUUGAUACAAAAUCAAUCUUCCUCAAAUUUUGUAUAUUGACUUAUCUAAAUAUUUUCAAUGAUUUCAACUAUACCCAUUGAAAAGAGUCUUUUUUUGUUUAGAUUUUUGAAAUAUUGUAUAUAUUUUUGUAUUUCAUCACCUUAUUUGCUACCCCGUCCAUGAAAUUUCCUUUCUGACUUGUAUGUAAUGUUGCUAAUCACGCAUAAAAAUAUGAAAGAUGAUUUUUGCAUGUGAUUCUUUGAUUGAAAGAACCCUAUUAUUUGAUUUUUAAUUUUUGUUAGUUAGUUUUUGUAAGUCUAUAACUAAUGGUUAAAUACUAGUAAAUUAAAAUUUAUUUGGGA